GUGGCUCAUCCGGGUUUGGCAGAAAAUUGGUGCCAUCCAUCAAGAACCAGAUUUAACGAACGCAGAAACCGGGCUGCCCGGCAAAGGAUUCUUAUUUAAGGCAGUGAACCAGGAAACGUGCGAGGGGCAUGGACUGGUGCAGGUCUAUCAAUCAGCUAGUCAGCUCCUUUAUUCAACAAGCGAGCGACAGCCCCUGAGGCCAGCGCAUGGGGUUCCGGCUUGUUGGCCUUGCAACACUCUCCCUGAAGGGAAGUGGUGGGAAGUGAAUGUGAAAGAGAGGUAGAGAGAGUUUUGGGGUGGGGGACAAGAAGAGGAGAGGCAUUAGGGCUUGGCCGUGUCCCCUGAUGAGCUAGCACGCUUCAUCUUUCUUGCGCGUGGACCUGGAACUGCGGCUUGAUGGGAUUUUCAGCACUGUGGCCUCCAUGCCUCGCCGGCGAUCGGUUGGGGGCCUAAGGCCAGUCGCCCGAGCUCUGCGAUGCUGCUCCUCUCGACCUGCUCCAGCUGGAAAAAACACCUCCCAAUCACCUCUCCUACAAGAGGGCGUCAAGUCCCUCUGGUGUUUUACCCAGAGUUCAAUAACCUACUCCACCCUCAAUCAAGAGUGAGAAAAGAGGACAACAAUAAGGAGAAGCUGAGGACACUCAACAGGCAUGUAAAAGUGCAAUUAGCUGAAUCAGCCUCCGUCAGAUGGUCUGGCCAGUGGACGGAUGGAAGAGGACUUCUGGAUGCUGGUGGCCUGGGCUCAUCUCCGAAAUGAGAGGAUAUGAAGCAGUGGAGCUGGUUUUGUUCCAGUCGGGUCAGGUCCCAGGCCAAGGCGAUGAGAGAGGCUGGUAAAGGAGGAAGCUUCAUAACUGUGGACCAUUCCAUCGCCUGGAGGCUAUGGGGGGAGAAAGAGAGGCUUGGCAGGGGUUGAGAAGGCAGGAGGGCCUGAGCGUGUAAUUAAAGCAAGAUCAUCAGCGAGAGAGAGAGAGCACCAUGAACUGCUUUCCGAUUGACAGGGUCCCUACACAGUGUUCACUACUUUCUACUACUUGAAGUUCACUUCGGAACAUUAAUUUGCGGAUUUUCACUGCGCCACUGCCUGUAACAUCAUCACACACAGACUCCAGUAGGGCUUAUUAUAGA